rnacentral:tRNA from 1 species
UGAGCUUUAUUGAAGCACUUCGUUUACACCGAAGAGAUGUCCGUGAAAAUCAGACCAUUUUGA